AAAGGAAUAGACGGGCACCCGCACAAGCGGUGGAGCAUGCUGUUUAAUUCGACAGUACGCGAAAAACCUUACCUAGACUUGACAUCCCCAGCAAAGCUAUAGAAAUAUAGUGGAGGUUAUCUGGGUGACAGAUGGUGCAUGGUUGUCGUCAGCUCGUGUCGUGAGAUGUUUGGUUAAGUCCAACAACGAGCGCAACCCUCGUCUUUAGUUGCUAACAUUAAGUUGAGAACCCUAAAGAUACAGCCGGUGUAAACCGGAGGAAGGUGGGGAUGACGUCAAAUCAUCAUGCCUCUUACGUCUAGGGCAACAGGCGUGCUACAAUGGUCGGUACAACGAGUCGCAACACGGUGACGUGAAGCUAAUCUCUUAAAGCCGGCCUCAGUUCGGAUUGGAGUCUGCAACUCGACUCCAUGAAGUUGGAAUCGCUAGUAAUCCCGAAUCAGAAUGUCGGGGUGAAUACGUUCUCGGGUGUUGUACACACCGCCCGU
rnacentral:rRNA from 1 species